UGGAAAGGAAAGACAAUUGCAAAUAUUCAUGCAUUAAAAAGUUUUCAAAAUCAACUUUGUAUGAAUCGAAACUGAGAUGUCGUCAAGGUUGUAAUGCUAUAAUGAAAGUAUGCAGGGAAGGUUGUUUAACUGCUUGUGCUGAUAUGUUUAAACCAUUAAUACUUUUACC